ACUUAGAAGUGUGAGUGUAGAGGAAGGAGCUUAAUUCUCUUCAGUAUAUUAAGAAAGUUUUGACCCUUGAGCCCACCUUCUUAAUCAUCGUGCUCCCUGAUCAAAGGCUCUGCCACCAGAGGACUCCUGUCGUACACUGUGAAAUUUGGUUUCACUCCUAGCAAGGUGCGUUUUGAUGUUUACAGAAAGAAGGUAAUGUGGUACAGCCUAUUUGCUUAGGCUAAUCAUCUUUCUCAAUAAAAUGGGCUUUGUGUAGUAGAUUUCAGUCAUAGUUGUGGCGGUUCAUUUCACCUGCCAAGUAAAAUUUUCUCUAGUGCAUUUGUUUUUACCCGAUUUGAGUGGAAACAAGAUUAAUCCUUACAGUCUUUAGUUCUUUGGCAGAUGAUGAGAGACUAGGUGUUUCCUUACUCAGCAGUGAUUGCAGACCUGUUGGGUUAGGAAGGGAACCUAGGAGGUCCUUUAUGUGUGUUCUUUUAAAUCUCCACAUCUCCCCCACCCCCAGCCUUUGAAGUGGUGGUGGUAUCUUCAUUUUCAGAAUAAAGAAAUAGAUUUAGGAAAGGAAAUCUUGUCCAGACUUGCAUAGUUAGCUACUAAGUGACAGAGGGAGCAUUGGAAUCCAAGUUUGGCUAUGUGUGUCUUCACUGCACUAAGGUGCCUAACCUGGAGAUGACAGGGAUUUUAAUUCAAAAGCAAUUUUGACUAUAGUGGAUUUUUUGCUUUACCUACAGACUUCACAACUCAGCCCUCAUGUAAGAAGUCUACUCAGUUUCUCUUUUUGAAUCAUGAUUUAUUGCUGCAUUCCUUAAUUGAGUAGCAGAUAAAGUAAUUGGUGUAAGUUUAAGGAUAUGUUGUGUUAGCAAAAACACAGUUUUUGAAACAUUGAAACCUAUUGUGUUUGGCCAGAUGCAGGCAGGAACUGAGUAACUAAGACAAUGCCUAAGACCUGGGCUUAGGGAUAUUGAGUUUUUGGGAGUGGGUUGGGGGGGGCUGCAAUGAAUAUGAAUGAAUGAAAUUCAAGUAGUGUGCAACUGUUUUAGUACUGAUAGAAGUACAAGUCUGUCUAGACUGACUUGCUUCCUUAGUUGAGGUUGAAAUGAAUGAGACCAAGGCUUGUUAACUUUGUUUCAUCUAGAGAAAGACUUUGUAACAAAGUCACUUACUCAGAUACAAUGUUUAGUAGUUGAUUACAGAGGAGUUAGGUGAAGACAUAAUAGAUUUGUUUCAUCUAGAGAAAGACUUUGUAACAAAGUCACUAAUUCAGAUACAAUGUUUAGUAGUUGAUUACAAAGAAGUUAGGUGAAGACAUAAUAGAUACUUAUCAUGCAGUAAAUACUUUGAUUUAAUCCUCACAAAAAUCCUAGAUCGUAAACCACAUUUUUUAGUGUUAGAAAUUGAGGCUUAAACAAGUUAAAUAACUUGCCCAAGUUUGUCCCCAGACCUUAAACACUAGGCUUUAAUAUUCAGAUAGAGUGAGGUUAGAACAACUCUAUUUUGCUGGGUUCAGUAUCCCCAGCACUGAGAACAUUGCUUGGCAUGUAGUUUUUGCUAAAAUAUUUGAACAGAUGAAGGAAUCAUAAAAUUAUUACUCGUAUAUAGAAAAGCAGUUCAGAACUUAUCUUCCGAUGGAGCAUUGGCAUUCUCUUUAACUUGGAUAACAACAGAUCUUAAUUAGGUGUGAUUAUAAGGACUUCUUUAACCUUAUUUUUAUGCUACUCUGUCUACUUGAGUGUGAGGCAGAUUGCUUCUUAACUGGCUUUGUUCUACGCAUGCUGGGAAUGCCCUCCUUCCCCAACUUGUUUGUCUAAGUCUUUUCCUUGCUUUGAACCUACUUUUUCCUUGAGUCUUCUCCCCCUUCUUAGUUCUUUGGGAAGUCCUUAGCAGAUGAGUAGUACUUGCCAACUAUAUGUACCAUUUGCUGCUGUUAAAGCCCUUUUUGGCAAUUGGAUACCUUGACCAAUCAAUGCCUAGUUUUUUCAUCCUUGCAUACAGUUGAAACUUGAAUGUUGGUGGAUUCUGUUGACAGUCAACGCAUGUAAAAUGAGAAACUUAGCACAGUGUAAUAAUAAAAAGUGUUUACCCCUAUAAUUGAAUGCUAGACUCUGGGAUUUUAGAUAAGAGUCUAGGUGUAAGAAGACAUAAAUAGAAGCAUAAUGAAUUAAUUCCUAAUUUGUGAAGCAGUGAAAUAAGUGAUAUUCUGUACCGCAGUACUGGGCAUAGAGUAGGUAUGUCAUUAAAAACUUUGUGAUUAAAAACCAUGCCACUGUGUAAGUGCCUACUUUUAAACUUGGAAACAUUUUACUUGGCCAUUCUGAUAGUUUUCAAAAUCAUAUAGUUAGGUAAGAUUAGUGUAUACUAAAAGUGGAGGUUUUGAGAUUAGCUUGAUUAGAUAAUAUUAAUUCAUAUAUCUUAAAGGAAAGAGAUUUAUCUUUCUGGGAAGAACAGCUUGAAAUAAUUAACUUGAAAUAUCCAACAUCUGGUCAAGAAAUUUUAUAAGCUAAUAGGCACGUAUUUACAAAAUGCCCUAUUUUUUAAAUAGGAAAUUUGGGAAUUAUAGGUAGUAAGUUGUAAUUAAUAGGCCUUUUUCUGGCCUUUGGAGUCAGACAGCACAGAUAACAUCUCCUUUGUGGACCAAGGGAUUGUGGAGGAAAGAACACCAUUUAGAAUGAGAACUAGUCGUAUCUGUCACUUUGCAGGAGCUUGGUCAAAUCACAUUAGUUCCCCCUGAAUUUGAAUUCUUACCGUUGUUUUUCUUAAAUAGAAAUUUCUGUAAAAGAGGCUUUUGGUGCGGGGAGUGUGUGUCCUUAUAUAUAGAACUUCAGACCUCAAGGCACAAAUGAAAGAUAUGUAGUUAUGAUAAACAGGAAACUUUUUAAAGAAUGUUUAAGAAAGCUCACAACUUGUUGGUUUUAUUAUAUUUUUUCAAAA